CACUCUCUGCAGAGGGCAAUCAAGAUGGCUGUGCCCCAGGAAGGUACAGAACCGAAACCAACAUUUGCUGCCAGCUGUGCCCCCCAGGGACAGCGAAGGUUGAAGACUGCUCAUUUGAGGAACAUUUCCCAGUCUGCCUUUCAUGUAGCGACGGAUCAACAUUCACUGACUCGGCAAAUAACCUUACCAGCUGCCAAGGAUGCAGAGUCUGCGACGAGCAAAGGGAGGUUGUUCAGCAUAAGUGCAUCACCACUGGCGACACGGUGUGCGAGUGUGUGGAAGGAAUGCACAGACCAAGCCAGUCCGAGCCGUGCGAGGUUCUUAAAGGUGAGACCGGCGCCGGAUUUAGGCAAGAUAACGAUUAACUUGGUUUCUGCAGCGCUAUUCGCACAGGGUCUCAAAGAGCUUUGUGUGCAAGUAUGUGCGUUGAACUUCUUUGCACCGUACGUAAGCCAACCAUGAUAAUUGGAGGUGUGGGGGAAGGACAACAAACUAAACACAACAACAACAAGCAGUUCUAUAGUAAUGAGCUCCAUGUCGAGUUUUGGAGAAAGCCUGCAGUAAAAAACGGGUGAGAAUCAGCAGAUGUACGGUUUUUUCGCAGUGGAAUAUAAAACUUAAGUAGAUUGGUGGUCAGAUAUUUAGGAGCCAACUCAUUGAAGCUAAAUAAGCUACAGCUUAGGGCAUCACAUUAUCAAGGGGGGGCUCUAAAUUCCCCAAAAUAAUACAUUUACAGUUUUACAUAAUCGGUUGAAAAUUAAGGAGGUAGGGGAAAAAUUACUGUCUAGAGCGGUUAUUUUCAUUCGGAUAUGACAACAAAUAUACAGGCAUUACUCGAUAAUAGAGUUUAUUUGGGUUAGAUCGCGUAAAUAUAUAAAUGUGUCA